UACGAAGGGGGCUAGCGUUGUUCGGAAUUACUGGGCGUAAAGGGCGCGUAGGCGGUGUGUCAAGUCAGGCGUGAAAGCCCCGGGCUCAACCUGGGAACCGCGCUUGAGACUGGCACGCUCGAGUUCGGGAGAGGAUGGUGGAAUUCCCAGUGUAGAGGUGAAAUUCGUAGAUAUUGGGAAGAACACCAGUGGCGAAGGCGGCUCACUGGCCCGUAACUGACGCUGAGGUGCGAAAGCGUGGGGAGCAAACAGG
rnacentral:rRNA from 1 species